rnacentral:tRNA from 1 species
UCCCUGGUGGCUCAGAGGGUAAAGCGUCUGCCUGCAAUGCAGGAGACCCUGGUUCGAUCCCUGGGUUGGGAA